UGGGGAAUCUUGCGCAAUGGGCGAAAGCCUGACGCAGCCAUGCCGCGUGAGUGAUGAAGGCCUUAGGGUUGUAAAACUCUUUCACCGGGGACGAUAAUGACGGUACCCGGAGAAGAAGCCCCGGCUAACUUCGUGCCAGCAGCCGCGGUAAUACGAAGGGGGCUAGCGUUGCUCGGAAUUACUGGGCGUAAAGGGCGCGUAGGCGGAUCAGCAAGUUGGGGGUGAAAGCCCGGGGCUCAACCUCGGAAUUGCCUUCAAAACUGCUGAUCUAGAGUACGGGAGAGGUGUGUGGAACUCCGAGUGUAGAGGUGAAAUUCGUAGAUAUUCGGAAGAACACCAGUGGCGAAGGCGACACACUGGCCCGUUACUGACACUGAGGCGCGAAAGCGUGGGGAGCAAACAGGAUUAGAUACCCUGGUAGUCCACGCUGUAAAACGAUGAUUGCUAGUUGUCGGCAGGCAUGCCUGUCGGUGACGCAGCUAACGCAUUAAGCAAUCCGCCUGGGGAGUACGGUCGCAAGAUUAAAAACUCAAAGG
rnacentral:rRNA from 1 species